ACGGGUGAGUAAUACGUAGGAAUCUACCCUUAAGUGGGGGGUAACCCGAGGAAACUCGGGCUAAUACCGCAUAACCUCUUCGGAGCAAAGGGGCCUAGCAAUAGGUCUCGCUUUUGGAUGAGCCUACGCCGGAUUAGCUAGUUGGUAGAGUAAUAGCCUACCAAGGCGACGAUCCGUAGCUGGUUUGAGAGAACGACCAGCCACACUGGGACUGAGAUACGGCCCAGACUCCUACGGGAGGCAGCAGUGGGGAAUAUUGGACAAUGGGCGAAAGCCUGAUCCAGCAAUGCCGCGUGUGCGAUGAAGGCCUGCGGGUUGUAAAGCACUUUCGGUAGGGAAGAAAUGCUCAAAGUUAAUACCUUUGAGAGUUGACGUUACUUACAGAAGAAGCACCGGCUAACUCUGUGCCAGCAGCCGCGGUAAUACAGAGGGUGCAAGCGUUAAUCGGAGUUACUGGGCGUAAAGGGCGCGUAGGCGGAUAUUUAAGUCGGGUGUGAAAUCCCUGGGCUCAACCUAGGAAUUGCAUUCGAUACUGAAUAUCUAGAGUAUGGUAGAGGAAAGUGGAAUUCCCGGU
rnacentral:rRNA from 1 species